GGGGUGCAGGCUAGUCUAGCGGGGAGGAUGAUCAACUCCCAGCUGAAAGGAUCCUGGGUUCGAUCCCCAGUGACCCCA